ACUACUCGAUGCCGUUGACAUAUGUAUUUCCCAAUGUCCCCCAAAUAAGCAAAAUAGGAUACUUUUUCUUGUUGGAAGGGAACUGAUGAUGGUCGCGUGGAAUCUCCUGUUAGGAUCAAAAGGAAAUCUGAUAGCGGUACGUAACUCUGAUGGCUUGUGGAACUUUCUGCUACCCCGUCCAAUCCCAUCUGCCGACCUCCAGUCAGAAACUGCCUACAGAAGUGUAUGUCUUAUCAUUACCUUUUUAAGAUUAUAUACAUAUAUAAAGGUUUG